rnacentral:rRNA from 1 species
GAUGAACGCUGGCGGCGUGCCUAAUACAUGCAAGUCGAGCGAACAGACGAGGAGCUUGCUCCUCUGACGUUAGCGGCGGACGGGUGAGUAACACGUGGAUAACCUACCUAUAAGACUGGGAUAACUUCGGGAAACCGGAGCUCAUACCGGAUCUUAUAUUGAACGGCAUGGUUCAUUAGUGAAAGACGGUUUUGCUGUCACUUAUAGUUGUAUCCGCGCCGCAUUAGCUAGUUGGUAAGGUAACGGCUUUCCAAGGCAACGAUGCGUAGCCGACCUGAGAGGAUGAUCGGCCACACUGGAACUGAGACACGGUCCAGACUCCUACGGGAGGCAGCAGUGGGGAAUAUUGCGCAAUGGGCGAAAGCUUGACGGAGCAAUGCCGCGUGAGUGAAGAAGGUCUUCGGAUCGUAAAACUCUGUUAUUAGGGAAGAACAAAUGUGUAAGUAACUAUGCACGUCUUGACGGUACCUAAUCAGAAAGCCACGGCUAACUACGUG